ACGCUCGACACCUACGGGAGGCAGCAGUCGGGAAUAUUGCGCAAUGGAGGAAACUCUGACGCAGUGACGCCGCGUGCAGGAAGAAGGUUUUCGGAUUGUAAACUGCUUUAGACAGGGAAGAAAAAGGACAGUACCUGUAGAAUAAGCUCCGGCUAACUACGUGCCACAGCCGCGGUAAUCUGAGCGGGCUGGCAAGGC
rnacentral:rRNA from 1 species